rnacentral:rRNA from 1 species
GACGAACCGUGCGAACGUUGUUCGGAAUCACUGGGCUUAAAGGGCGCGUAGGCGGGUUGCUAAGUCUGAAGUGAAAGCCCACGGCUCAACCGUGGAAGUGCUUUGGAUACUGGCGACCUCGAGGGAGGUAGGGGCGUGCGGAACUUCCGGUGGAGCGGUGAAAUGCGUAGAUAUCGGAAGGAACACCGGUGGCGAAAGCGGCGCGCUGGACCUUUACUGACGCUGAGGCGCGAAAGCCAGGGGAGCAAACGGG